GUUCUGAGUUGUUUUCUAUUUUCCAUAAUUUUUGUGCUAAAAUUAAAAAUCAAUUUGGUGUUUCUAUUCGUGCUUUUCGUAGCGAUAAUGCCUUAGAAUAUUUAUCCUCUUCAUUUCAGCAGUUUAUAACUUCUCAAGGAAUUAUUCAUCAAACCUCUUGUCCUUAUACCCCUCCGCAAAAUGGGGUUGCAGAGAGAAAGAAUAGGCACAUCACUGAGACUGCUCGCACACUUCUCAUUGAGUCUCAUGCUCCACUGCAUUUUUGGGGACCUCUUGUCCUUACACCCCUCAGCAAAAUGGGGUUACAGAGCGAAAGAAUAGGCACAUUAUUAAGACUGCUCACACACUUCUCAUUGAGUCUCAUGUUCCGCUGCGUUUUUGGGGCGAUGCAGUUCUCACAGCUUAUUAUUUAGUUAAUCGGAUGUCUUCCUCUCCCAUACAGAAUCAGAUACCAUAUGCAAUAUCGUUUCCCCAAUCACCCUUAUACUCUGUUCCCCCUCGUGUUUUUGGGAGCACGUGUUUCAUUCAUAACUUAGCCCCUGGGAAAGAUAAGUUAGCUCAUCGUACUCUCAAGUGUGUCUUCCUUGGUUAUUCUCGUGUUCAAAAGGGAUAUCGUUGUUACUCACCUGAUCUUUGUAGGUACUUUAUGUCCUCUGACGUCACAGUUUUUGAGUCUAAACCUUUCUUUACCUCUUCUGACCAUUCUGACCACCUUAAUAUAUAUGAGAUCUUACCUAUACCGACCUUUACGGAGUCUACUAUAUAUCUUUCUUCACCUUCCGCCACAGAAGUCUUACCCGAGUCUACUAUAGCUCCUCAUUUACCUUUCGCUACUGAAGUAUUACCCAUUCCAACAGUUGAGGAGUCUAGCAUGGCUCCUCCUAGACUCCCUGUCACAGGAACACCGCUUUUGACAUAUCAUCGUCGUCUGCACCCAGCAUCAGGCCCAGCUGAUUCACGUCCUUCACCUGACCCUGCUCCUACUACGGACUUGUCUCUUCCUAGUCCAGCGAUUGCACUUCGGAAAGAUAAACGGACCACACUUAAUCCUAAUCCCCAUUAUGUCGGUCUGAGUUAUCAUCGAGCCCAGCUGAUUCACGUCCUGCACCUGACCCUGCUCCUACUGCGGACUUGUCUCUUCCUACUACACCGAUUGCACUUCGGAAAGGUAUACGGACCACCCUUAAUCCUAAUCCCCAUUAUGUCGGUGUUGUUCACCAUUGGCCCCUCUAUCACCUGGACAUUAAGAAUGCUUUUAUACACGGUGACCUUGCGGAUGAAGUUUAUAUGGAGCAACCACCUGGGUUUGUUGCUCAGGGGGAGUCUCGUGGUCUUGUAUGUCGCUUGCGUCGGUCACUUUAUGGUCUAAAACAGCCUCCUCGAGCCUGGUUUGGUAAGUUCAGCACAGUUAUCCAGGAAUUCGGCAUGAUUCGGAGUGAAAUUUGGUGAGAUUAGUCAGAUGAGACUUGUGUGUGAUAAUCAAGCUGCUCUUCAUAUU
rnacentral:lncRNA from 1 species